CUGUGUCCCUUUACUGAAGGCCAUUCUCAGUCCUUCCCCUUUCUCAAGAACAAAAGUAUUGCACAGAAAUGCUCCAGUGUCACCUUGGUGAGAAGAAAUCUGGAGUUAUAUAGUAUUACCAAAGAAAAACAGAAAAGUACAUAUUUCCUGAAGAGGCAUGUAAAGGAGCUGACCACAGUUGCCCUUAUUUUCGUGGAUUCACUUUAUGGCCAGUAGCAUGGGAUGGUGAUUUCCUUCAGUCCUGGAGAUAAAUGAUGCUUUUGGGAGGCAGAGAACCAAGGGAAUUAGAUGCUGACUAUUCAUCAAAAGUUUUUACAACAGGACCCUAUCAGUGGACAGUAAUGAGCUUGAGAUGCAGACAGUAGAGCAGCAGGAGGGAAGAAGGCAGCCACGUGCCAGAACCCCGUGCUUCCAGAAGCUUUGCACAACUCUCCUCAAGGGGCUGAACCAGUCUUUGAUGAUACUUGAAAGGAAGACCAGGACAAUAGCACUGUAAUUUCUGUGACGUUGAAUUUAUCUCCUGCAAUUGAAGACUACUCUGAAAUUCCCUAGCAUGGUUGGUUUCAGAGGAUUGCAGCAUCUGGAGGUAUAAUUUGAUAGAAUAACAAAGAAAUUAAACCUCUUAAAAAACACUACACCUCCCUUCCCCCCUCUUUUUUAUUGUAGGCUGGAUUUAAAAAUAAGCUGGUUAUAUCAGAAUAUUGAAAAAAUAUAGCCUGUUUUUCUAAAUAAAAUAAAAAAAAAUACGUCCCAAAUGUCAACAGUCCUUCAUCUUUGGCAAACAGAUAAAAAUAAGAAGUUAUUCAUGGUUACUGACAGCUUCUGUGCUAAAUCUCUGCCAGGUUAUUUCACAAACAAAAGCAGCAGCAGCCCCAUUUGACUCUCCCAUUGCAUGUACAGUGAACUACACUACCUUUGAAACAAGUUUUCACCUCAGGAAAGUCUGUGCGCCUAUGCUGUUGCCUCGUUCUUGAAAUUUAGAGUCUUUUAUUUUUUGUGAAUUGUUAUCACCAAGUAUUAUGGUAGCAUCUAUUUUUUAAAAUUUUAAGAUAACAUUGCUUUGCUGAUUGUUCCAAUAUCCCCUAACAAUGAAAUAUAGUAAUACAAAAGUUAACUAAGGUAUAAACAUGCAAAAGGAGAAGUCUCCCUGCGAUCAUAAAAUGAUGUUAUUUUCUGUUCAGCAGUUCAUGUUACUGCUGUUCAUGCUAAUUAAUUAAAGGAGCUGUUGCUGUAAUGUGCAAACAGGGAAUCUGAGAAACUGAGAGGGCUUUUAGGUCUCGGAGUGAAGUUAAGUCAAUCUGGGCGCGGGCAAUCAAAUGUAAUGAAAUCACUUGUCAGUGCUAAGCUUGCAAAAACUGUGAAGUUUGACUAGGGAGUAAAAGGAUUAUAAUUAGAUUUCCAAUAGGAUAAUAACUAAAUGGCAGAAAGCAGUAAAGAGAAAAUAUUACUUUGUUAGCUAAUGGUGCUGCUGUUCAGUUUUAGUUUUUAUCAGCACACUUGUAGUUGUGCUAAUUUAAUUUGCUUUUAUCAGCAAAAAUGCACUACUCGAAUGGUACUUGAAUGUCAUUUGCAAAAAUCAUUGAUCUGAAGGUGCACUUAAUGACACCCAGUAUGUUUAUUUUAUGUGAAACGGAGAUUGGUUGAUAAAAUGGCUGAUGUACUAUCUUGCCCAAGAGUGAGUUAUGGAAGCAAGACCAGAAGGGUAUCUGUGUGCAUGCAUCACCCUCUCCUGUACCACUCAGCUGUGCAGGGGGCUUCGUAACUACAGGAACUGUUACUUAUCUGUUUUCUCAGCUAAAAAACUUCUCUCAGGCUAAGCUAUGCUGGACUAGAAAAUCAGGUAUAGAGAGGAUGGAAGUAUUAGGCUGUAAAGUUCAAAAAAGUUUUAGUCUUGUCAACACAAAAUUUCAAUUCAAUUAAUAUACAAAGCAUAGAGAAAAUGACUCUACUAAAUGGAAGAGAUUUAUAAUGCAUAUCAGAAUCCCAGUAAAUGAACAGCUUGUGUUAAUAAAAUCAUUUUAAGAAAUGAGCAUAAAAUAUGAUAUGACUUAAUCACUGUGAAAGAUGGCUGUGCCGUAUUUUUGCAAUUUUCCUUUAAGCCAUCUUAAGGAGAUACUGGCAGUGAAACUAAUUGAAUUUCAAAGGAAAAGCACUGUGUGAAUGAUAGAUUUCUGUCCAGCAGAGCUAUUGACAACAGAAAAAGAAAGGUCUGCAUUGAUGCUAAAGCUUUUUUCUGUGCACAAGAGAAAGAUUUUGGAUGCUUGGAAACAGUGUUGUAUUAGGGACACGUGUUUUGACCUUUCCUGCUCCUAGGGCCCAAAAAACAAAAGGCAGAAAAUGAAGGGGGCAAAGGAGGGAGUGUGCUCAAAUUGUUAGCGCACAGUGUUAGAGUGGCUGACAAGUUUUAGAAAUUGUAAUCAAAGGAAAAUAGAACAAAAAGAUACUACAGUAUCAGCAGAAAUAAAAAAGGAGGAGAUGGUUCUACAGAAUAGAAACACUUUGUAACCUAAAUAUGCUCUAUAGAGAGUUCUUCAGAAAUCUUUUUGAUCAGCUGAGAGUGCUUAGUGAAAGAACUGGAUAAACUCAUCACACAUUUACAUAUGAACAGGAUUACCACACUGAAAUUGUCAGAGAAGCCAAUGUGUGCUGUCAUUCGUUAUUGUGGUGAAGACAAGAAUUGACAUAUUCUGCUUUCACAGAGGGGUACCAAAUUCAGCGAUACUGAACAUAACCAGUGAAUAUCCAGGUCUCCCUUGGUUCAGGCUUUUAACCUGAAGAAAAACUUUGUGACCCAAAGCCUUUUAGAAUUGAAGAAUGACAUAGUUGGGAUGAGAUUUAAAAAAAAAAAUCUGAAAUAAAAAUCAUAGAAUCACAGGGCAUUCCUGCAUAUCAGUAGACUAUGUUUAAGAAAGUAGUAGACUAGUAGACUAGUUUAAGAAAGUUCUUCUAAUAAGUAAAUGGCUAUUGGAACUUGUGCAUCAUUCACCCCAGUUGUUUACAUUCAUUUUUGAUGGAAAGACAGAUUUGAGCUAACUGUAACUUUUUUUCUUCAAUUAAAUACAGAAAUUAACUUCCUUUUUUUCCACUAGAUUCUGCCCAGAUGCACCUUUGACUCACACAAUGUCAUUGGAAGAGCACUGAGCGCUUAUCUCAGCAGAUAUCAUAAGCAGAAUUAUAAACGGUACGAAUAAUCUGCUUGUCAAAUUUAAAUACACAUCCCAAGUGCUUAUCCAAUAUUUUGACUAUUUCUGGCAGUAACAAAUUUCAAACUGCAAUAUUUAGUGCACAACUCCAAUCAUACACACACACACAUAUAGAUGUUUUAUAUAUGCAUAUAUAUGCAUAUAUAAAAAUGAAGUUGUAAUUCUCUUUGUAUUGCGUAGCAUGUGAACCAAAAAUCACAAAGAGACAGUAAAAAUAUUUGAAAGCUUUUCUAUAUAGAUGACAGAUGGACAACAGAUGUGUACCAGAGGUAUGCAAAGUCUAGCCUUUAACAGUUGAGAAAUGGUAGAAGUUAUGUUUCUAUCUCUAACUGUACUGGUUCUGGCAAUACCUAAGACAGAAUUCUCUAGAACUCAGAUGUUCUUGUAAUUCUCUUUGGUAUGUGCACAUCUAUUUAAAUGCAUAUUUAAGAUUUCUUUAAAGACCUGUGGAACUUUUGUCUUGCUAGAUUUGCCUUCCUUGUGAUGAUUUCCAUCACGUGCAGUUUAUGCAUUUUUUGAAAACACCUGUGAUCUUGAUAGGAAAGCAAGGAUCAGAGGUAAAAUAUUUUAAAAAGAUAAACCCUAUGUAAAAUCAGUUUUGGACUAAGCCCACAUCCCUGAUAGCUAAAUAUGAGAAUUUCCCACACCUCUAUUUAAACAAAUAUAAUUUGUUUAAUCUUUAAAAGUAAUGAUGGGAGGAGGUACAUACUGCACCUUGCAUUGCUGCACUGUCGUGUUGGGUUCCGUUGUGUUCUAUUUCCAUAUCUGGGAUUCCAGCAUCUGAAAGAUGUGACACCAAAGAUUAAUGCAUUCCCCUUUGUCCUUCUCUCAUGCAUCUUUAGAAAAAUAUUUAUAGCAAACUAGGGUGAUCACCAAGUUGCACGGCCUUGCAUAAAACAUUUGGUCUUCAUGGAAUUUUCAGUAGCAAAUCGUUU